rnacentral:rRNA from 1 species
UACAGAGGGUGCGAGCGUUAAUCGGAAUGACUGGGCGUAAAGGGUGCGUAGGUGGUUUGAUAAGUUAGGUGUGAAAGUCCUGGGCUUAACCUGGGGAUUGCGCUUAAGACUGCCAAGCUAGAGUACUGUAGAGGAAGGUGGAAUUUCCGGUGUAGCAGUGAAAUGCGUAGAUAUCGGAAGGAACAUCAGUGGCGAAGGCGACUUUCUGGACAGAUACUGACACUGAGGCACGAAAGCGUGGGGAGCAAAC